rnacentral:rRNA from 1 species
UGAUCCUGGCUCAGGAUGAACGCUGGCGGCGUGCUUAACACAUGCAAGUCGAACGAAGCCCUCGGGCUUAGUGGCGGACGGGUGAGUAACGCGUGAGAAUCUACCUUCGAGAUGGGGACAACCGUUGGAAACGACGGCUAAUCCCCAAUAAGCCGAAAGGUGAAAGGGUUUCCGCUCGCAGAGGAGCUCGCGUCCGAUUAGUUAGUUGGUGGGGUAAGAGCCUACCAAGGCAGCGAUCGGUAGCUGGUCUGAGAGGAUGAGCAGCCACACUGGGACUGAGACACGGCCCAGACUCCUACGGGAGGCAGCAGUGGGGAAUUUUCCGCAAUGGGCGCAAGCCUGACGGAGCAACGCCGCGUGUGGGAAGAAGGCUCUUGGGCUGUCAACCACUUUUCUCAGGGAAGAAGUCCUGACGGUACCUGAGGAAUCAGCCUCGGCUAACUCCGUGCCAGCAGCCGCGGUAAUACGGAGGAGGCAAGCGUUAUCCGGAAUUAUUGGGCGUAAAGCGUCCGCAGGGGGCACUUCAAGUCUGCUGUCAAAGGUCGGAGCUUAACUCCGGUUCGGCAGUGGAAACUGGAGUGCUAGAGGGCGACAGGGGUAGAGGGAAUUCCCAGUGUAGCGGUGAAAUGCGUAGAGAUUGGGAAGAACACCGGUGGCGAAAGCGCUCUACUGGGUCGCACCUGACCCUCAGGGACGAAAGCUAAGGUAGCGAAAGGGAUUAGAUACCCCUGUAGUCUUAGCCGUAAACGAUGGAUACUAGGCGUGGUUUGUAUCGACCCAAGCCGUGCCGAAGCUAACGCGUUAAGUAUCCCGCCUGGGGAGUACGCACGCAAGUGUGAAACUCACAGGAAUUGACAGGGGGCCCGCAC